rnacentral:tmRNA from 1 species
GGGGGUGAAGGGUUUCGACUCGAAUCGUUGAUCUAAGAAGUGCAUGCCGAGGUUGUCAGGAGGCCUCGUAAAACACCUGGCGAUAAAUUAAAUGCUAAUGAAGAGUUAGCUCUAGCCGCUUAAGUGCGGCAAGCCAUCCGGUCGGUUUCCUGGGAGGCCGGAAGCGGCUCUGAUACGCGGGAUAGUUCUGGGUUUUUGCUUUUGAGGCCCGGAGCGAAAUUCUAAAAAGCUGGCUGUUUGCAUAUCCCGCUUACCGGAGAUGCAAACGGCGAGAUUCAAACGGCAAGACAAGCAUGUAGCAUCUUCUGGGUUGAGAUACGAGGACGGCGGUUCAACUCCGCCCACCUCCACCA